GGGGCUGUGGCUCAGUGGUAGAGUAUGUGCUUUGCAUGCAGAAGGUCCCAGGUUCAAUCCCUGGCAUCUCUA